rnacentral:rRNA from 1 species
GGAGGCCACUGCUAUCGGGGUCCGACUAAGCCAUGCGAGUCACGGGGGUGUCCCUCUAGGACACCACCGGCGGACGGCUCAGUAACACGUCGGUAACCUACCCUCGGGAGGGGGAUAACCCCGGGAAACUGGGGCUAAUCCCCCAUAGGCCUGGGGUACUGGAAGGUCCUCAGGCCGAAAGGGGCUUUUGCCCGCCCGAGGAUGGGCCGGCGGCCGAUUAGGUAGUUGGUGGGGUAACGGCCCACCAAGCCGAAGAUCGGUACGGGCUGUGAGAGCAGGAGCCCGGAGAUGGACACUGAGACACGGGUCCAGGCCCUACGGGGCGCAGCAGGCGCGAAACCUCCGCAAUGCGGGAAACCGCGACGGGGGGACCCCGAGUGCCGUGCCUCUGGUACGGCUUUUCCGGAGUGUAAAAAGCUCCGGGAAUAAGGGCUGGGCAAGGCCGGUGGCAGCCGCCGCGGUAAUACCGGCGGCCCGAGUGGUGGCCGCUAUUAUUGGGCCUAAAGCGUCCGUAGCCGGGCCCGUAAGUCCCUGGCGAAAUCCCACGGCUCAACCGUGGGGCUUGCUGGGGAUACUGCGGGCCUUGGGACCGGGAGGGGCGGGGGGUACCCCUGGGGUAGGGGUGAAAUCCUAUAAUCCCAGGGGGACCGCCAGUGGCGAAGGCGCCCCGCUGGAACGGGUCCGACGGUGAGGGACGAAGGCCAGGGGAGCAAACCGGAUUAGAUACCCGGGUAGUCCUGGCUGUAAAGGAUGCGGGCUAGGUGUCGGGUGAGCUUCGAGCUCGCCCGGUGCCGUAGGGAAGCCGUUAAGCCCGCCGCCUGGGGAGUACGGCCGCAAGGCUGAAACUUAAAGGAAUUGGCGGGGGAGCACUACAAGGGGUGGGGCGUGCGGUUUAAUUGGAUUCAACGCCGGGAACCUCACCGGGGGCGACGGUAGGAUGAAGGCCAGGCUGAAGGUCUUGCCGGACACGCCGAGAGGAGGUGCAUGGCCGCCGUCAGCUCGUACCGUGAGGCGUCCACUUAAGUGUGGUAACGAGCGAGACCCGCGCCCCCAGUUGCCAGCCCUUCCCGCUGGGAAGGGGGCACUCUGGGGGGACUGCCGGCGAUAAGCCGGAGGAAGGAGCGGGCGACGGUAGGUCAGUAUGCCCCGAAACCCCCGGGCUACACGCGCGCUACAAUGGGCGGGACAAUGGGAUCCGACCCCGAAAGGGGAAGGGAAUCCCCUAAACCCGCCCCCAGUUCGGAUCGCGGGCUGCAACUCGCCCGCGUGAAGCUGGAAUCCCUAGUACCCGCGUGUCAUCAUCGCGCGGCGAAUACGUCCCUGCUCCUUGCACACACCGCCCGUCAAUC